rnacentral:rRNA from 1 species
AGCGCAGGCGGGAAGACAAGUUGGAAGUGAAAUCCAUGGGCUCAACCCAUGAACUGCUUUCAAAACUGUUUUUCUUGAGUAGUGCAGAGGUAGGCGGAAUUCCCGGUGUAGCGGUGGAAUGCGUAGAUAUCGGGAGGAACACCAGUGGCGAAGGCGGCCUACUGGGCACCAACUGACGCUGAGGCUCGAAAGUGUGAGUAGCAAACA